CCCCCCGUGGCUCAGUUGGUAGAGCAUGGGGUUUGCAACGCCAGGGUUGUGGGUUUGAUUCCCACGGGGGGC
rnacentral:tRNA from 1 species